UACGUAGGCAGCAAGCGUUGUUCGGAGUUACUGGGCGUAAAGGGUGUGUAGGCGGUUUUCUAAGUCUGGUGUGAAAUCUCCCGGCUCAACUGGGAGGGUGCGCCGAAAACUGGAAGGCUAGAGUGCGGGAUGGGAGAGUGGAAUUCCUGGUGUAGCGGUGAAAUGCGUAGAUAUCAGGAGGAACACCGGUGGCGAAGGCGGCUAUCUGGACAGAAACUGACGCUGAGGCGCGAAAGCUAGGGGAGCAAACAGG
rnacentral:rRNA from 1 species